AGCAGCCGCGGUAAUUCCAGCUCCAAUAGCGUAUAUUAAAGUUGUUGCAGUUAAAAAGCUCGUAGUUGAAUUUCGGGGUUAGUAGGUUGGUCAUGCCUCUGGUAUGUACUGGUCUCACUGAUUCCUCCCUCCUGAUGAACUGUAAUGCCAUUAAUUUGGUGUUGCGGGGAGACUGGACUGUUACUUUGAAAAAAUUAGAGUGUUUAAAGCAGGCUAACGCUUGAAUACAUUAGCAUGGAAUAACGGAAUAGGACGUUCGAUCUUAUUUUGUUGGUUUCUAAGAUUGACGUAAUGAUUAAUAGGGAUAGUUGGGGGCAUUAGUAUUCAAUUGUCAGAGGUGAAAUUCUUGGAUUUAUUGAAGACUAACUACUGCGAGAGCAUUUGCCAAGGAUGUUUUCAUUAAUCAAGAACGAAAGUUAGGGGAUCGAAGACGAUCAGAUACCGUCGUAGUCUUAACCAUAAACUAUGCCGACUAGGGAUCGGAUGAUGUUAAUUUUUAAUGACUCAUUCGGCGCCUUAC
rnacentral:rRNA from 1 species